rnacentral:rRNA from 1 species
UGGGGAAUAUUGGACAAUGGGCGAAAGCCUGAUCCAGCCAUGCCGCGUGUGUGAAGAAGGUCUUCGGAUUGUAAAGCACUUUAAGUUGGGAGGAAGGGCAGUAAAUUAAUACUUUGCUGUUUUGACGUUACCGACAGAAUAAGCACCGGCUAACUCUGUGCCAGCAGCCGCGGUAAUACAGAGGGUGCAAGCGUUAAUCGGAAUUACUGGGCGUAAAGCGCGCGUAGGUGGUUCGUUAAGUUGGAUGUGAAAUCCCCGGGCUCAACCUGGGAACUGCAUU